rnacentral:rRNA from 1 species
UACGUAGGGUGCAAGCGUUGUCCGGAAUUAUUGGGCGUAAAGAGCUCGUAGGCGGUCUGUCGCGUCGGAUGUGAAAACCCAGGGCUCAACCCUGGGCCUGCAUUCGAUACGGGCAGACUAGAGUUCGGCAGGGGAGACUGGAAUUCCUGGUGUAGCGGUGAAAUGCGCAGAUAUCAGGAGGAACACCGGUGGCGAAGGCGGGUCUCUGGGCCGAUACUGACGCUGAGGAGCGAAAGCGUGGGGAGCAAACAGG